CCGCUCCGUCCUGAGUGCCCGCCGACGUCAAGCCGCCCAGUAGCUCUUCAUCCGACGGGCCGGCAAACUCCCCCACGUCGCCCACGUACUCGGCCCCCGGGACUCCAGGGACCCCUCCUGCCAGUCGCUCCUCCUUUGUUGGCGUUGCGUCUCGAGACCCAGGUGGACUCUACCAAGCCCAGUCUUGGUAUCUGGGCAACUGAAACGCGACACGAUCUGUUCUGCGUGUGCUCACACCCAAACGCAAACGAUUGAUAUCAGCGACCCCAGUGAGGAGGAUCGCUUCAGAUCGAGGAUGGAGGAUGUUCGACACACGAUGCACUUAACGCGUACGGGUGUGGGCGCACGGCGGGCCGUGAGCCGCGAGGACUCCAAACGGCUCUCGAGACUGGUCGCCGCAAGGAUUUCCCGGGAAAGGAUGUCCAUCACGCCCUCAACGCCGCCCCUCCCUGUAGGUGCUGCUUACCAUAUAUGCAAAUAAGCCUUGCUCUUUUUUUUUUCUGUAUUUCCCCAAAGACUCCAACUAGAGAGAGAGUGAGACGCACCAUCUUUUCAUUCAAACGUGAUUUUUGCACUUUUUGUCCCCCCUCUCGCCUCUCCUUUCUCCAAUCGUCCCCAAAGAGAGCGAAAACAAAAAAAAAAAAAAAAGAGGGAAAGCAAAAAAGACUGGGGUUGACAAUCACUGUCAGUGUGAAAACAUGAAGUUGGACGCUCAGAAGUACGCGAGCGCCGACCACUCUUGCCCUCUUUCGGGCAGAGCGUGACGCGCAGCCGGCCGCUUCCCUGUCAUCUGGCGACAAGUUUAACACCGACACUCGUGUCGACGUCAACUCAGAUGCUCUUGUCGGCGGUGACGAAAUGCGCAAUCGCUACCUUGACGGCACAAAGUUUGGGUCACCUCUGCGUGAAAGGAUUUGAAGCGAUGGCCCCCUCAGAGAAGGAAUGUGGAAUGUGCCCCCCCCCCCCAAGAAUUCUGCUCGGAAUCCAUCCCAUCCGUCCAGCCCCGCUCGCUGGACCUUUUUUCAAAAGUCUCUUUUGCACGAAAUGUCCUAAACCACAGUACGUGCCUUGCCUUCUUCACUUCAACUAAGAAUAAUAAUGACACCUUUUGGAAACGUAACAAAACUUUUCAUGGUACCGCUUCAAGAGCCCCCCGGCCCCCCACCAAAAAAGUUGCAUGCCAGAAUGCUUGACGCUUGGUAGCCCAGCCGGUACAGACUUUUGCAUUGGCGAUGGAUCAUUUAUCCGUGCUAAAACGAAUAUAUCCGCUGUCCCUUUGUAAUGGACCCGAGUUGAUUGCACAACGUACUUUCCACGCCUACCCGCAAUAGGUGAAAAUCUGCCAUCCACAGAUCGUACAAAAUUCUUU